GGCUGGUCUGAUUAUUAUGGAUUAUCAGAACUUAUUAACAUUACUGCCACUAAAGUUGGUAUACAACCCCCACGGCUAAAUUUUAGUGGCUUAAA
ensembl:misc_RNA Y_RNA Y RNA